rnacentral:rRNA from 1 species
GACGAACGCUGGCGGCGUGCUUAACACAUGCAAGUCAAACGGAAAGGCCCUGCUUUUGUGGGGUGCUCGAGUGGCGAACGGGUGAGUAACACGUGAGUAACCUGCCCUUGACUUUGGGAUAACUUCAGGAAACUGGGGCUAAUACCGGAUAGGAGCUCCUGCUGCAUGGUGGGGGUUGGAAAGUUUCGGCGGUUGGGGAUGGACUCGCGGCUUAUCAGCUUGUUGGUGGGGUAGUGGCUUACCAAGGCUUUGACGGGUAGCCGGCCUGAGAGGGUGACCGGCCACAUUGGGACUGAGAUACGGCCCAGACUCCUACGGGAGGCAGCAGUGGGGAAUAUUGCACAAUGGGCGGAAGCCUGAUGCAACAACGCCGCGUGCGGGAUGACGGCCUUCGGGUUGUAAACCGCUUUCGCCUGUGACGAAGCGUGAGUGACGGUAAUGGGUAAAGAAGCACCGGCUAACUACGUG